AUAACACUACUAACACCAACUAAAAUAUGAUGAGU
rnacentral:guide_RNA from 1 species